rnacentral:rRNA from 1 species
UACGUAGGGGGGCUAGCGUUGUCCGGAUUUAUUGGGCGUAAAGAGCGUGUAGGCGGCCAGGUAGGUCUGGUGUGAAAACUCGAGGCUUAACCUCGAGAUGUCAUCGGAAACCAUUUGGCUAGAGUCCGGAAGAGGAGAGUGGAAUUCCUGGUGUAGCGGUGAAAUGCGUAGAUAUCAGGAGGAACACCGGUGGUGUAGACGGCUUACUGGACCACGACUGACACUGAGGCACGAAAAGCGUGGGUAGCAAAACAGG